rnacentral:lncRNA from 1 species
UGCUUAUAUCAGCGCUGUAAAUUCUUCUCUGGAGAGCCAUAAUGGAGUCCCAGGGCAAAGGUCACAUCCUGUGUGGUGCUCCAUGACUCCAUGGAGAGGGGUUGUCUCUGUUCCCCACCCCACACCAAGCCUCAUAAUCCCUCUAUUACAGCACUUAACAUAUGGUACUUCUGAGGAAGAAGAGGAGAGGCAGGUUUCUGUCCCCAAGGAGAAACUCACUGAGGAUCCAGAAAGCAAGGAUGGUCAUCUGAAACUUUCACUGGAGGAACGAUGUCAAAUUCUAAGAAUAAAAAUUGUCAAGCACAUUCCCCAGUUUUCUUGGGGAGUAAGUCAUAAUCAGCUUCCUUGUAACUCAACCCCUGAACUCACAAGAUCCACUCUCGACAUCUGGAUUUGACCUAUUAUUUGCAACAAGCCAACACUUCCAAGAAUUCUUCCCUGGAAAUCCCUCAACGCAGAGUUUCUCAUAAAAAGCCUGAACAUGGCCUGAAAUCAUCAGGGACAAGGAGGCCCAGGUUCUAGUAGGGGGCCCUGUCCCUUCAGUUCUGAAUUGCUAUUACAUAGUGAUUCUGUCCACUGGUCAUUCAGGACUGCAGACAACUGUCUCAAGGCCCUGUGAAGGGCCAUUUCCUCCUAGUGCAUGGCAAAGGGACUUCUCCAAAAUUCCAGGCCAGCCAGCCAGCCAGCCUCUGUGAGUACUUACCCCUUCCCUGGGUCUCCCACAAGCCAAGGGAGGCUUUAUAGCUGACUCUGUGAACUAGCACACUGCCCAGCACAUGCCCAUGGAAGUUCCUUUCUGGAGUGAAUGGAGCAACUGCCUAUGAGUAGGCCUGUGUUAAAUCUUAAGUUCUUAAAGAAAUGAUAAAAUCAGCCAUGAAAGCAACACUGAGUAUGGGAGAGAUCGCUGCUGCUCAUACUGUCAGUGCCGGCACUAUACCUUUCUGCUCUUCUAACUACUGAAUACAUCACCUGGCCCAGGGAAGUCUUCUGUAUUCUAAAUCAGUCUGACAACCACAAUACAUUUCUGCUGUUUAGCUUAGAAAUAGCACAAACAUAUUCCUCAUAUUUCUGGAGACCAGAAUUUGGAGGCUGGGGAUCCAUCUGACAAGACCUGGUGAAGACGUUGUUAUCGGGGGUUUCCUGUGCUUCCCUCCCUGUGAUGUCCUUGCAUACAAGAAAAACAAACAUAACAAUCUGUUCCCAUGGGGAGGACUCUGUCCUCUUGACCUCACCCCCCAAUUCCAUUUUAUUUGGCUUUGCUCUCCAUAAACGAAUCUGAGGACAUUAACCUUCAGUCUACAGCAUCUAGUAUUCAGAUGAGGAAUGAAUGAAAUUCAUUUUUCCUUUCACUUAGUUAUACCAGAUCACUCCAUGUCUCUCAGGCUUCCUGGGAAUAU